rnacentral:tRNA from 1 species
AUAAAGUUGGCAGAAUGAUGUGAAUAAUUUAGGUUUAUUUUAUAAGAAAUAUAUCUUACUUUAUA